rnacentral:rRNA from 1 species
UGGGGAAUUUUGGACAAUGGGCGAAAGCCUGAUCCAGCAAUGCCGCGUGUGUGAAGAAGGCCUUCGGGUUGUAAAGCACUUUUGUCCGGAAAGAAAUCCUUGGCUCUAAUACAGUCGGGGGAUGACGGUACCGGAAGAAUAAGCACCGGCUAACUACGUGCCAGCAGCCGCGGUAAUACGUAGGGUGCAAGCGUUAAUCGGAAUUACUGGGCGUAAAGCGUGCGCAGGCGGUUUGCUAAGACCGAUGUGAAAUCCCCGGGCUCAACCUGGGAACUGCAUUGGUGACUGGCAGGCUAGAGUAUGGCAGAGGGGGGUAGAAUUCCACGUGUAGCAGUGAAAUGCGUAGAGAUGUGGAGGAAUACCGAUGGCGAAGGCAGCCCCCCUGGGGCCAAUACUGACGCUCAUGCACGAAAAGCGUGGGGAGCAAAACAGGAUUAGAUACCCUGGUAGUCCACGCCCUAAAACGAUGUCAACUAGUUGUUGGGGAUUCAUUUCCUUAGUAACGUAACUAACGCGUGAAGUUGACCGCCUGGGGAGUACGGUCGCAAGAUUAAAACUUAAAUGAAUUGACGGGGUCAUAGCUGUUUCCU